AUUGAACGCUGGCGGCAUGCCUUACACAUGCAAGUCGAACGGCAGCAUGGAGAGCUUGCUCUCUGAUGGCGAGUGGCGGACGGGUGAGUAACGCAUCGGAACGUACCGUGUAAUGGGGGAUAACGUAGCGAAAGUUACGCUAAUACCGCAUACGACCUGAGGGUGAAAGCAGGGGAUCACAAGACCUUGCGUUAUACGAGCGGCCGAUGUCAGAUUAGCUAGUUGGUGAGGUAAAGGCUCACCAAGGCGACGAUCUGUAGCGGGUCUGAGAGGAUGAUCCGCCACACUGGGACUGAGACACGGCCCAGACUCCUACGGGAGGCAGCAGUGGGGAAUUUUGGACAAUGGGGGCAACCCUGAUCCAGCCAUGCCGCGUGAGUGAAGAAGGCCUUCGGGUUGUAAAGCUCUUUCGGCCGGGAAGAAAUCGCACAGGCUAAUACUCUGUGUGGAUGACGGUACCGGCAUAAGAAGCACCGGCUAACUACGUGCCAGCAGCCGCCGCGG
rnacentral:rRNA from 1 species